GGGAUAGCUCAGCCGGUACAGCAUGAAACUUUUAAUCUCAGAGUGUCGUGGGUUCAAGCCCCACUUUGGGCA